UUUCACAGCAGGUCCAUCAGCCUCCACCUCUACCUCCAUCACUGGUUUCAUCCAGGAAGCUGACAGUGCUGGUCUACCUGUGGCUACUGAAGUGGAGAGCAGUACCAUCGUGGUACCAGCACACCUGUCUCUCCAGUUUCUGCUGCUCCAGUGGAUCCAGCUGACUGGACAUCAGGACUUAACGACCAGUUACACGUUGAUGUGGUGAGCGGUAAAACCAGCACAGGUUGACAGAGACAUUUAGACUUUUCCAAAAAGACACUCAGACAGUAAAAGUCUUUUCUAUCAUUACAUGUUUAGAUCACUCAUAAAGAAGCAGGUUGAGAAAAUGAUGCUGUCAGCUGUUUCCUAGUUUUUGUCUCUUAAACUCUUGUUUGGCUGUUAUUAAAGAUUUAAGCUUUGGUCAUAA